AGGAUGAACGCUGGCGGCGUGCUUAACACAUGCAAGUCGAACGAGGUCCAUCCAAACUUGUUUGGGGAAGACCUAGUGGCGAACGGGUGCAUAACACGUGAGAAACCUGCCUCAGUCUCUGGGAUAACAGUUGGAAACGACUGCUAAUACCGGAUGCCGUCCCACCAUCACAUGAUGGAGUGACGAAAGAUUUAUCGGAUUGAGAGGGUCUCGCGGCCUAUCAGCUAGUUGGAGAGGUAACGGCUCACCAAGGCAUCGACGGGUAGCUGGUCUGAGAGGAUGAUCAGCCACACUGGGACUGAGACACGGCCCAGACUCCUACGGGAGGCAGCAGUGGGGAAUCUGCACAAUGGCGAAAGCCUGAUGCAGCAACGCCGCGUGCGGAAGAAGGCCCUAGGUUCGUAACCGCUUUCGAGUAGGAAGAAAUGACGUACUACAGAAGAGUGCGACCAACUACGUGCCAGCAGCCG
rnacentral:rRNA from 1 species